GUUAGUUUUUUCUGCGAUGGCUGGAUUUGCCUUUCAGAAUAAUAAUCAUUAUUUAUGGAGUGUCAAGCACAUUGAACGAAGAACCCAAUGGUGCCAAAUCUCUCCACCAGCUUUAAGGUACAAGGAAGGGGGCUUGGUUUUUAAAGGUACAAGACCAGCCUAGGGACAGAAGAUAAAGCUACUUGAACCCUUGGGCAACAGAACUUUUAUCAUACUCGCAUUGUAGAUUCACCGUCAGGUCCAGGAUGCAAAGAUGUGAUGCUGAGGGGAGGAUCAGAAGGAAGAGGAGAGGACAGGACAGAGAAAAUUCUUAGCCAUGAGGCACCUGGGAAUCUUAGCUCCUGACCAGGGAUGGAACCCAAACCCCCUCACUGGAAGAUGAAGUCUUAACCACUGGACAGCCAGGGAAGCCCCUGUUUCCUCUUUCUAAUUGCCCUCUUUCUGAGCCAAUACUGGAGAAGAGAGUCCUUGGCGCUUGGCCCUCGACCUGCCAUUAUGGAUAAUAGAGCCCUUGAUCUGGACGAGGCUCACAGCUCUCGACACAGAAUUUCCUCUCCUUCGUUGGUGAACAUAAGACUCACCAGCCAGGGGCCACACCCCCCACCCCACCUCCACGGCUGGGAGUUUUCUGCUCCUCUUCCUCCAGGGGCAGAAAUAAUGAACGCGGAUUCACAGGAUCACAGAGACGGAUUUGCAAGGCAGCGGGCCAGUGACUUUAACCUUAGCAUUGCUCAGCUCAAACCAAUUGCGCUAAGG
ensembl:lncRNA